GACGAACGCUGGCGGCGUGCUUAACACAUGCAAGUCGAACGGAAAGGCCCCUUCGGGGGUCCUCGAGUGGCGAACGGGUGAGUAACACGUGAGUAACCUGCCCUUGACUUCGGGAUAACUUCAGGAAACUGGGGCUAAUACCGGAUAGGAAUCCUUGCUGCAUGGUGGGGGUUGGAAAGCUUCGGCGGUUUUGGAUGGACUCGCGGCUUAUCAGCUUGUUGGUGGGGUAGUGGCUUACCAAGGCUUUGACGGGUAGCCGGCCUGAGAGGGCGACCGGCCACAGUGGGACUGAGAUACGGCCCAGACUCCUACGGGAGGCAGCAGUGGGGAAUAUUGCACAAUGGGCGGAAGCCUGAUGCAGCAACGCCGCGUGCGGGAUGACGGCCUUCGGGUUGUAAACCGCUUUCAGCAGGGGCGAAGCUUGUGGUGACGGUACCUGCAGAAGAAGCACCGGCUAACUACGUG
rnacentral:rRNA from 1 species